UGAGCAUCGGUGAUGGAUUCUCACAAUCGUUAUCCUUGCACUUUGAUUGACAGUGAAUCUAGAUGCUCAUGGGGACUGUUAUUUCUGAUAUGCUU